rnacentral:rRNA from 1 species
GACGAACGCUGGCGGCGUGCCUAAUACAUGCAAGUCGAACGCAGUUUCGAACGGGUGAGUAACGCGUAGGUUACCUUCCCCCUAGAGGGGGAUAAAACAUGGAAACGAUAGCUAAUACCGCAUACUGUGAGAUAGACCUGCGUUGUAUUAGCUAGUUGGGGAGGUAAAGGCCCACCAAGGCGACGAUACAUAGCCGAGCUGGGAGGGUGAUCGGCCACACUGGGACUGGGACACGGCCCAGACUCCUACGGGAGGCAGAAGUAGGGAAUCUUCGGCAAUGGACGGAAGUCUGACCGAGCAACGCCGCGUGAGUGAUGAAGGGUUUCGGAUUGUAAAGCUCUGUUGUUAGAGAAGCGGUAACGAACUAGAAAGCGACGGCUAACUACGUGCCAGCAGCCGCGGUAAUAC